ensembl:snoRNA
GCACCUGAAUCUUUCCUAUUCCUUGCAGUGCAGUGCAGGUCUGGGGACAGUUGGUGCUACAGCAAAGCAGUGGAAGUCCAGAUGGGUUGCUUUUGUUUCACCUGGAACUCAUCUCUACAACUCUGCAACACUU